CCUACGGGUGGCAGCAGUGGGGAAUAUUGGACAAUGGGGGGAACCCUGAUCCAGCGACGCCGCGUGAGUGAAGAAGUAUUUCGGUAUGUAAAGCUCUAUCAGCAGGGAAGAAAGAAAUGACGGUACCUGACUAAGAAGCCCCGGCUAACUACGUGCCAGCAGCCGGGGUAAUACGUAGGGGGCAAGCGUUAUCCGGAUUUACUGGGUGUAAAGGGAGCGUAGGCGGUUUAGCAAGUCAGAAGUGAAAGCCCGGGGCUCAACUCCGGGACUGCUUUUGAAACUGUUGAACUUGAUUGCAGGAGGGGAGAGUGGAAUUCCUAGGGUAGCGGUGAAAUGCGUAGAUAUUAGGAGGAACACCAGUGGCGAAGGCGGCUUACUGGCCUGUAAAUGACGCUGAGGCUCGAAAGCGUGGGGAGCAAACAGGAUUAGAUACCCUAGUAGUC
rnacentral:rRNA from 1 species